rnacentral:tRNA from 1 species
AGGAAGUUAGCUCAAUUGGUAGAGCAGUUGACUAUUAAUCAACCUGUAGCAGGUUCGAUUCCUGCACUUUCAACCA